GAUCAUGGCUCAGGAUGAACGCUGGCGGCGUGCUUAACACAUGCAAGUCGAACGAAGCACUUUAAUUGAUUUCUUCGGAAUGAAGUUUUUGUGGCUGAGUGGCGGACGGGUGAGUAACGCGUGGGUAACCUGCCUCAUGCAGGGGGAUAACAGUUGGAAACGACUGCUAAUACCGCAUAAGCGCACAGGAUUGCAUGAUCCAGUGUGAAAAACUCCGGUGGU
rnacentral:rRNA from 1 species